rnacentral:lncRNA from 1 species
CACCUAUCAUGGUCAUGAAUUUUAGGACUCAGUCUUAUGAACUGUAUAGGACCUCUCCCUGCCUAUUAGGAUUAACAGAUUUCAUCUUGGUGCACACUAUUUCUACAGUGGACCUACUAUAGCCAACAUAUAUCGUAAGGUUUCGAAUCGCUACGUAACCAAGUGAUUGUGCAAUUAAACUAUAGCAAUCCCAUUGUGA